rnacentral:rRNA from 1 species
UACAGAGGCCCCAAGCGUUGUUCGGAUUCACUGGGCGUAAAGGGUGCGUAGGUGGCUUGGAAAGUUUGAUGUGAAAGCUCAGGGCUUAACCCUGAAAUGGCAUUGAAUACUAUCGAGCUGGAGGUUUGGAGGGGGGACUGGAAUUCUUGGUGUAGCAGUGAAAUGCGUAGAUAUCAAGAGGAACACCAGUGGCGAAGGCGAGUCCCUGGACAACACCUGACACUGAGGCACGAAAGCCGGGGGAGCAAACAGG